GACGAACCGAGCGAACGUUGUUCGGAAUCACUGGGCGUAAAGGGUGCGUAGGCGGGUCUUUAAGUCAGGGGUGAAAUCCUGGAGCUCAACUCCAGAACUGCCUUUGAUACUGAGGAUCUUGAGUCCGGGAGAGGUGAGUGGAACUGCGAGUGUAGAGGUGAAAUUCGUAGAUAUUCGGAAGAACACCAGUGGCGAAGGCGGCUCACUGGACUGGUAUUGACGCUGAGGUGCGAAAGCGUGGGGAGCAAACAGG
rnacentral:rRNA from 1 species